GGAGAGGUCGCAUAGCCCGGUUGAGUGCGCGUGUUUGGAGAACACGUGAUCCGUAAGGAUCCGGGAGUUCGAAUCUCCCCCUCUCCGCCA
rnacentral:tRNA from 1 species